GAUGAACGCUAGCGGCAGGCUUAACACAUGCAAGUCGAGGGGCAGCGGGGAGGAAGCUUGCUUUCUCCGCCGGCGACCGGCGCACGGGUGAGUAACACGUAUGCAACCUGGCCGUGACAGAUGGAUAACCGGGAGAAAUCCCGCCUAAUACAACAUAAUGCCGGGAGGGGACAUCCCCUGCCGGCCAAAGGGGGCGACCCCGGUCAUGGAUGGGCAUGCGGCGCAUUAGGUAGUUGGUGGGGCAACGGCCCACCAAGCCGACGAUGCGUAGGGGUUCUGAGAGGAAGGUCCCCCACAUUGGAACUGAGACACGGUCCAA
rnacentral:rRNA from 1 species